AAAUUUUAUAUAUAUAUUUAAAUUAAUAAAUGUAUUACAUUAUAAGUAUAAUUUUCAAUAUCCAAAUCAACUAUUAUGGUGUUAGUUGACGCACUUAAUUUGAAACAGCCGUGGAAGUAUCCAUUUAGACAAAUUAAUGAUGCGCCUUUUGAUAGUACGCCUCAAAAACUAUUAAUGUUAAAAUGAUGCACAUAGUCAAAUAUGUUGAAUACUAUCAUAAUUUAGAAAUAAAAUUGAGUUUAAUAACUAUAUCUAAUAAGGUAGCAAAUAUUUAGAUCAAUCGUUUUGUUUAUAUAAAUUUAACAUUCAUAUAUAUUUCUUGAUAUUAAUUUAGAUUUAAAAUGUUUAAGUGAUGAUUUUACUAUCAGAUGAAAAAGAUGGCUCAAAAGAUCUCGAAAAUAAUUGAUAUCAUUGAAGUUCUGAAAAUAAUAUCAUAUCCUUCAUCAGAUUUAAGUUACUACAAUUCAAACUAGAACAACAAUUUGAUCUCAAGGAUACUUUAAUUAAGCUUGGAUGUAUUACAAUGUUUAAUCGCGAUGCGAAUUUGCUGAAAUUUCUGAUUUACCUUUACAAGUUGAUAAAUUUGUUCAUUAGGCUUAUAUAAGUGUCGUUAAAAAUGGAACCGAAGUUGCAGCUGGUUCAGGUUUGAGCAGUUUAUGUCUACAUCAUGAUCUAUAAAAUGUAUUCCAAAUUACUAUAAGAAUUUUAAGAACAUGUGAAAAAUAUAUGAUCAGCUUCUUAUUUUGAAAAAACGUCAAAACGUGCUAGAUAAUUGAUAACACAAAAAAGUAGAAGUACAAUAAAUAAUUCAUUUAUAAUGGUGUAAUAAUACUAACUGGCGUAAUAGUAACUAAUUAGUAUUAUUAAUUAAAAUAUACUAAUAUCUAACUUUACUAUAUACUUGCCAUAAAAAUUUAAAUGUUAAAAUUACCUUUGGCUAAUUGAUUAAUUUAUCAAAAA